UUUUAUGAGAGUUUGAUCCUGGCUCAGGACGAACGCUGGCGGCGUGCCUAAUACAUGCAAGUCGUACGCUUCUUUUUCCACCGGAGCUUGCUCCACCGGAAAAAGAAGAGUGGCGAACGGGUGAGUAACACGUGGGUAACCUGCCCAUCAGAAGGGGAUAACACUUGGAAACAGGUGCUAAUACCGUAUAACAAUCGAAAUCGCAUGAUUUUGAUUUGAAAGGCGCUU
rnacentral:rRNA from 1 species